rnacentral:misc_RNA from 1 species
UUUUUUUUUUUUUCUUUUUUUGAUCAUUGAUGUUAAAUUGGUGCCUAAUACUCUCAAAUCAUAAAGUACAAAGCCUUAACGCAAACACACUUAAGUUGGAGGAUUCAGAUGCCAAAAUCUGAAAAGUUCCAGUGCUUUAUUUUCUGGUACCUCAGAAAGUAAAAUGUUCAAGAACUUAGAUAUGGGUUUUCCUACAGUUCUACUGUUAAUUACUAGUAUCUUUGUUGUCAUUGGGUCAUUGUUUAUUCAUGUAAGGCUCUACCUGAUUAUAUAUUUUAUCUGUUUCUAUCUUUGUCACUCUAUCCCUCCCUGUUAUUGUUCCUGGUAUUGUUGACUGCUUAACCCCAUGUUCAAUCUAUUCUCUUGCUUGAAUAAUCAGAUUAUAAUUUGGUCUUGGUCACCUGAUUGUAUUAAUUUACAGGGCCGACAUGCUCUAGUCUAUG